rnacentral:rRNA from 1 species
AACCAGCACCUCAAGUGGUCAGGAUGAUUAUUGGGCCUAAAGCAUCCGUAGCCUGUUCUGUAAGUUUUCGGUUAAAUCUAUGCGCUCAACGUAUGGGCUGCCGAAAUACUGCAAAACUAGGGAGUGGGAGAGGUAGACGGUACUCGGUAGGAAGGGGUAAAAUCCUUUGAUCUAUUGAUGACCACCUGUGGCGAAGGCGGUCUACCAGAACACGUUCGACGGUGAGGGAUGAAAGCUGGGGGAGCAAACCGG